rnacentral:lncRNA from 1 species
GGUUUGAUAAGAACUAAAAAUUAUCUCCUUAAAAAUAUAACAAAAAUAAAAAAUAGUGAGUAUAAUAAUGUAUAGUUAUGGAGAAUUUAAGCAAGAUUGCGAUUAGACGUCUUUUGAUUGGCUAAAAGCAAUUUUGUCUAUUGACAUAAUUUCGUCAUGUGACAGUGACGUAAUCAACUUUUUUCAUGAUCUACUCCUACGCGGGUCAUUCAGUGUGCACCACAUUUGUUAUGUAAUUUCUUCAUAGAAAAACAAGAUAUUACAGUCUUUCCUUAAAUAAUUAUGGAAAAAUUAACCAAAGUUUAAGAACAAUCAAUAUUCAUCUAAACUUCUUAAUCCCAGUUAGAUCUGAUAGCGCUGCUAGUUCCAUGAAUACCAAUGAUGUAGAUUAAUCCAGGCUAAUAUUUUCUCCAUAGUCUUGAUAAAUAAGCCAUACUUGGAAUAUCUGUGCAAAAUAUCGAGAAUAUCGAUAAUCCGGAUUUCACUGUUAACCACAAAAUUGACCAUGUCACGGUACAUUGAUUGAUUGCUUUGAGUUUGUCGAGUAUAAACCACGUG